AGUGGUAGCUCAGUGGUUAAGAUGUCAGACCACUGAUUGGAAGGUUAUGAGUUCAAUCCCCAGCACCAUUA